rnacentral:tRNA from 1 species
GGUGGCUCAGUGGUAGAGUGCUUGCCUUGCUAUGCAUGAGGACCUGGGUUCGAUUCCUCAGCACCA